rnacentral:rRNA from 1 species
AUUGAACGCUGGCGGCAGGCUUAACACAUGCAAGUCGAACGAGCGGCGGACGGGUGAGUAAUGUCUGGGAAACUGCCUGAUGGAGGGGGAUAACUACUGGAAACGGUAGCUAAUACCGCAUACCAUCAGAUGUGCCCAGAUGGGAUUAGCUAGUAGGUGGGGUAAUGGCUCACCUAGGCGACGAUCCCUAGCUGGGCUGAGAGGAUGACCAGCCACACUGGAACGGAGACACGUCCCAGACUCCUACGGGAGGCAGCAGUGGGGAAAAUUGCACAAUGGGCGCAAGCCUGAUGCAGCCAUGCCGCGUGUAUGAAGAAGGCCUUAGGGUUGUAAAGUACUUUCAGCGGUGAGGCGUUACCCGCAGAAGAAGCACCGGCUAACUCCGUGCCAGCAGCCGCGGUAAUUC